GACGAACGCUGGCGGCGUGCCUAACACAUGCAAGUCGAGCGGGGUUGAAGCGAGGGGUAACUCGAGUUUCUACCUAGCGGCGGACGGGUGAGUAACGCGUGGGCAACCUGCCUCAAGGACUGGGAUAACAGCUCGAAAGGGCUGCUAAUACCGGAUAAGCCCAUGGCCUCGCAUGGGGCCAUGAGCAAAGGGGAAACCCGCCUUGAGAUGGGCCCGCGUCCCAUCAGCUAGUUGGUGAGGUGAAGGCUCACCAAGGCGACGACGGGUAGCCGGCCUGAGAGGGUGACCGGCCACACUGGGACUGAGACACGGCCCAGACUCCUACGGGGGGCAGCAGUGGGGAAUCUUGCACAAUGGGCGAAAGCCUGAUGCAGCGACGCCGCGUGAGCGAAGAAGGCCUUCGGGUUGUAAAGCUCUGUCUGGAGGGACGAAGGAAGUGACGGUACCUCCGGAGGAAGCCACGGCUAACUACGUGCCAGCAGCCGCGGUAAACGUAGCGUG
rnacentral:rRNA from 1 species